GAUAAACGCUGGCGGCGUGCAUAACACAUGCAAGUCGAACGAAGUGGCGAACGGGUGAGUAACACGUGAGUAACCUGCCUUACACAAGGGGAUAGCCUUUGGAAACGAAGAAUAAUACCCUAUAGUGUCAGAUGGACUUGCGUCUGAUUAGCUAGUUGGUGAAAUAAAGGCCCACCAAGGCAACGAUCAGUAGCCGGCUUGAGCGAGGGUAAGGCCAAAAUGGGGAGAAAACACGGCCCAAAAUCCAAGGGAGGCCGCAGUGGGGAAAUUUGCACCAUGGGGGAAACCCUGAUGGAGCGACGCCGAGUGAUUUAGAAGGACAUCCGGUUGUAAAAAUCUUGUUUAUGGGAUGCAGUACCAAAAGAAUAAGGUCCGGCUAAAUACGGGCCAACAGCCGCGGUAAUAC
rnacentral:rRNA from 1 species